UCCCUGGUGGUCCAAUGGUUAGGACUUGGCUCUUUCACUGCAGAGCGAGGGGCCCAGGUUCCAUCCUUGGUUGGGGAA
rfam:Ovis aries breed Texel chromosome 3, whole genome shotgun sequence.